UACGUGUUAAAUGGGAACUCAUGAUGGUU
rnacentral:piRNA from 1 species